AAAUGGCUUCCAAUUCAAGAACCAGGUAGCGAUGAUUGUGGCGUGUACACUGCCAAGUACUUUGAUUUGAAGCAAUUUAAUGAGGAAGAAGCCGCUAAGUUGAAAUUUACUUCUGAAGAGGAUAGGAACAACUUGGUUUUGGACUUGAUCCUUUGUGGGGAGAACAUAAUCAGGAAUGAAGUCAUUCGAAAGGCUCAACAAAAAUAUCGCAACACUAGAAGGAUAACUUGAUAGCAAUUGGAGUUCUUUUUUAUGACAAAUGUAGUUAAAAUUCAGUUAUGGAGACAAACAAUGAUAUGGCAAAUGCUGUCUUUU